rnacentral:lncRNA from 1 species
AUGGCACCACAGAAUGAUGGUCCCAAGAGAUGGUCCUUGGCAAGCUGGUUCUGUAGUGAAAGAAGACUGGAAAUGACUGCCUACCACUGCCCUCACGUGAAGUUUCUCACUCAUUGGGAACCAAGGUUUGGGAGAAUCAAAGAAGCAAUUUGUGAUGAAGUCUUUGUUAUGACACAGACAGGCUCCUGGGGGAAGGAGGAAGCCACAAGAUGGCCCCAGAAUUAGACAAUCCUGCCCAACAUUCGUGUGACUUCUCCGUCUCCAGUUCUUGACAGACGAUCAGGAUUAGUCGCCAGGAGAACUGACUGUGGUUCUUUAAAGGAGCAUAUAAUUAUAAUGCUUGGUACUUAAGGGAUGUCUUUUAUUUCAAGCUCUUUCAGCACCUAAGGAGUUUUAACUCCAUAAUCUUGACAGCUUUUCAUUACAUUACUUUUUUUCCAUUAAAUUGUACAAGGACCUACUUGAACAACAUUUUUAAAAAGCUCUCUAUUAAAAAAAAUGUUCAUCUACUUUUUGCUCAUCUCUAUUUCUUCCGUGACAAUUUGCUAGAACUUUAAUUACCCUACUAUGUGCUAUUUGAAGUUCAGGACAUAUUGCACUCAUAUAGUGCUGAACACAUGGUAUGUACCUUAUAAAUGCUUAUGUUGUUAUAGUUUAAGUGUUAAGCCUAUUUUAUUAUUCUACCCAGUCAUGGCUAUAGGCAAAAUGUGUUGAGUUAGUUAAGGAAUUUUUAGUUGUUGGAACAUAUUACAGGACAUUGGGAUAUGUUGAAGAUGACAAGGUCAAAGGUGCAUGAUAGGCCUCAUCAGGGCCUGGAACCAGGAACCCAGAAACCCAGGACCUGAGACUACUUUGUCCACCUCUGCUGGUUUCAUUUGGCUUGUCACCUGUUUCUCUCUAUAUAGGUCAACUUCCUGUCUUUGUGGUCAGCUUUUCUAUGUCUAUUAUUGCACAUGUCUAUUAUUCAAACUACUGUAGAUACAAACAUACAUCCACCAAUGUGUCCUCAUAAGAAGAUCUUAGGAAGGAAAAACUGAUUGGUCCAAUUUAGAUCAUGUGCUCCCGUUUGCUCCAAUCAGCUGAAGACAAAGAUGAAGACUCACACAUUUCACAAAUUAAGAAAAAGAGUUGAUGGUGCAGCUGCUUUGAAAAACAAUUUAAGAAACUUGUGGCAGUUUCUCAAGUCAUUGAACAUAGACUUACCACAUGACCCAGCAAUUCCGCUCAUAGGCAUUAAUAAAAAAAAACAAAAAAACAAAAAACAUUCAUCCACAUAAAAUUUGCACAUAAAUGUUUGCAAUGGCCAGUAAGUGAAAAGAACUCAAAUGUCCAUCAACUGGUGAUCAGAUAAACAAAACGUGGUAAAGCCAUGCAAUGAAACACUAGUGGAUAAUAAAAAGGAAUGAAGCACUGAAACACGCUACAACAUGGAUGAACCUCAAAAGCAUGAUGUUAGGUAGAAGAAGCCAGAUGUAAAAGAUCAUAUAUUUUAUGAUUUCAUUUAUUUAAAUGUCCAGAAAAGGCAAAUGUAUAGACAUAGAGUAGAUAAGCGUUUGCCUGGGACUGGAGUGGGAAUGGGAAAUAACUGUAAUGGGCACAAGGUUUCUUUCCAAGGUGAUGGGAAAGUUCUAAAAUUAGACGGUGGUGAUGGUUGCACAACUCCAUAAAUAUACUAAAAGCCAUUUAGUUGUAUAGUUUCAGU